AUGCAGCAUGCAAGAAAAAACAAGCUCUCUUCUCUCUCCAUCGCUCGCGCCGAGGAAGAGCUCGUCCGCGCCCCCACUCGUCCACUCCGGUCCCCGCCGGUCCGCCGCGCGCCGCCCUCGUCAGGCUCCCGCCCCAACACCGCCUCCCGCCCUCCCGAGCUCCGGCCUCUGCGCCGACCCGCGGCUGGUGCCUGCUCUGCUCGCUCCUCGCGCGCCGAGGAGGUCGUCGACGCCGCACACCGCACGCCGCGUGCCAAGGAGGUCGUCCAAGGAGGCCCAGCUAGGGACUCCUUGGAGUCACGGCCGGGGCGCCGCGCGCGCCGGUGCCUGUGCUGA
rnacentral:rRNA from 1 species